CAAGGAUAGAAAGUUGAAAGGACAAGUUGAUUAAUCUGGACGAGACUUUACGAUAAACUUCUCUCGUGAAGAACCGCGACAUGUAUACGAAAUACGAAUGUGAAUGCGAAUGCGGAUGCGGAUGCGGAUACGGAUACAAGCAUGGAUACGAAUACGAAUACGGAUACAAUUGACCUCGCACUCGACCUUUUAAAGACUCGAAAGUAGAAUAUGUAGCUCCAUCAUUGAGUGUCACUACCUCCGCGUUGUAAACCGAUGUACGUACACGCGU
rnacentral:misc_RNA from 1 species